GCGUGAGAACCUGCCCCAGAAUGGGGACAACAGUUGGAAACGACUGCUAAUACCCAAUGUGCCGAAAGGUGAAAGAUUUAUCGUCUGAAGAUGGGCUCGCGUCUGAUUAGCUAGAUGGUGGGGUAAGAGCCUACCAUGGCAACGAUCAGUAGCUGGUCUGAGAGGAUGAGCAGCCACACUGGGACUGAGACACGGCCCAGACUCCUACGGGAGGCAGCAGUGGGGAAUUUUCCGCAAUGGGCGAAAGCCUGACGGAGCAAUACCGCGUGAGGGAGGAAGGUCCUUGGAUUGUAAACCUCUUUUAUCAGGGAAGAAAAAAAUGACGGUACCUGAUGAAUAAGCAUCGGCUAACUCCGUGCCAGCAGCCGCGGUAAUACGGAGGAUGCAAGCGUUAUCCGGAAUUAUUGGGCGUAAAGCGUCCGUAGGUGGUUUUGCAAGUCUGCUGUUAAAGAAUGGAGCUUAACUCCAUAAGAGCGGUGGAAACUGCAAGACUAGAGUACAGUAGGGGUAGCAGGAAUUCCCAGUGUAGCGGUGAAAUGCGUAGAUAUUGGGAAGAACAUCGGUGGCGAAAGCGUGCUACUGGCUGAAAACUGACACUGAGACGAAGCUUG
rnacentral:rRNA from 1 species